ACACUUAGUGGCGGACGGGUGAGUAACGCGUGGGUACCUGCCUCACACUGGGGGAUAACAGUUAGAAAUAGCUGCUAAUACCGCAUAAGUCCGCAUGGAAAAAACUCCGGUGGUGUGAGAUGGACCCGCGUCUGAUUAGCCAGUUGGCGGGGUAACGGCCCACCAAAGCGACGAUCAGUAGCCGGCCUGAGAGGGUGAACGGCCACAUUGGGACUGAGACACGGCCCAAACUCCUACGGGAGGCAGCAGUGGGGAAUAUUGCACAAUGGGGGAAACCCUGAUGCAGCGACGCCGCGUGAGUGAAGAAGUAUUUCGGUAUGUAAAGCUCUAUCAGCAGGGAAGAAGUGACGGUACCUGAAUAAGAAGCCCCGGCUAACUACGUGCCAGCAGCCGCGGUAAUACGUAGGGGGCAAGCGUUAUCCGGAUUUACUGGGUGUAAAGGGAGCGUAGACGGCAAGGCAAGUCUGAAGUGAAAGCCCGGUGCUUAACGCCGGGACUGCUUUGGAAACUGUUUAGCUGGAGUGCCGGAGAGGUAAGCGGAAUUCCUAGUGUAGCGGUGAAAUGCGUAGAUAUUAGGAAGAACACCAGUGGCGAAGGCGGCUUACUGGACGGUAACUGACGUUGAGGC
rnacentral:rRNA from 1 species